rnacentral:misc_RNA from 1 species
GAUGAAGAACGUAGCGAAAUGCGAUAAGUAAUGUGAAUUGCAGAAUUCAGUGAAUCAUCGAAUCUUUGAACGCACCUUGCGCCUUUUGGUAUUCCGAAAGGCACACCUGUUUGAGCGUCAUGAAUACCUCAAUCUCCAUCUUUUCUUCGGAUUGAUGGGUGACUUGGAUGUUGAGCCCUGCUGGUAUGAUAUAUCAGCUGGCUUUAAACUUAUUAGCCGGCUCUGUACUGGAUCGGUUUGACUCGACGUGAUAAUAUUAUCGUUGAGGAUGCAUGUCUCAUGCAGCCGGAAAGUAUCAAAGCAGCUUCUAGCUUGCCUUUAGUGCACUUUUACAUUUUAGACCUCAGAUCAGGUGGGACUACCCGCUGAACUUAAGCAUAUCAAUAAGCGGAGGA